UAUUAGCUAGCCAUGACUUUGAUAUGGGAAACACUAGUAGUAGUUUGUAUUGUGUAUGCCUUGUAUGAGUUCCUAAAUAUCCACAAGAGAAAAAAGUUUCCACAAGGUCCAAGGGGAAUCCCCAUUUUAGGACAUCUUCAUUUGUUAGGGAAAAACCCACACCAUGAUUUACGAAACCUAGCAAAGAAAUAUGGUCCAUUUUUCCAUAUUAGACUAGGACCAAUACCUACAUAUAUUGCAUCGUCUGUCGAUACAGCCGAAAAAUUCGUCAAAACUUAUGAUCAUAUCUUUGCUACGAGGCCUUAUAACGAGUUAGCUAAGUAUUUGUCAUACGGUCAUAAGAAUUUGGUAUUUGCAAGGUAUGGACCAUACUGGCACAAUAUGCGCAAAUUGGUCACUCUAGACCUUUUAACUCAUCAAAAGAUCAAUUCAUUUCAAUCCGUGAGAACACAAGAAGUAAGAUCAACUCGCUUAAAAAUGAUGGUGGUUGUGUUGUUGAUCUUAGUGCAAAAGUUGCAAAGUUGAGUGCUGACAUAACUUGUUCGAUGUUGUUUGGAAAGAAGUACAUGGAUGAAGAAUUGGACAAGAGGGGAUUCAAAGGUAUACUUCAAGAAGUUGUGUAUUUAGGUGCAACACCAAAUCUUGGAGAUUUUUUCCCCUUCCUUGGUGUAAUUGAUCUCCAAGGAAUCACGCGUAAACUCAAGGAACUUUCAAAGGUGUUUGAUGGAUUUCUUGAGAAGAUAAUCGAUGAACAUGAACAGUCUCGUGACCAAAAGCAAUCCAAAGACUUGGUGGACACGAUGUUAGACAUUAUGCAUUCAGGAGAGACACAGUUUCAGUUUGAUCGUACCAAUAUAAAAGCUAUUCUCAUCGACAUGCUUGCUACAGCAAUCGAUACUUCAGCAACAUUGGUAGAUUGGACAGUAACAGAGCUUCUUCGACAUCCUCAUGUGAUGAAAAAACUCCAAAAGGAGUUGGAAGAAGUGGUAGGACUUGAAAGAAUGGUAAAAGAGUCAGACUUGGAGAAGUUGAACUACUUAGAUAUGGUUGUGAAAGAGGGAAUGAGGCUGCAUUCCAUUAUACCAAUAACGCAACGUGAGGCCAUGGAAGAUUGUGUCGUUGAUGGCUACCAUAUACGAAAGGGAUCACGAAUCGUGAUAAAUCAUUAUGCAAUUCAGAGGGAUCCAAAUGUUUGGCCCGAGCCUGAGGAGUUUUUACCAGAGAGAUUUGUUGGAAGUAGUAUAGAUAUUCGUGGACGGGAUUUUGAACUUUUACCAUUUAGCUCUGGUAGAAGAAGUUGCCCUGCAAUCCCGCUGGGGAUCACCGUUGUCCGCCUUAUGUUGGCACAAUUGGUGCAUUGCUUUGAUUUGGACCUUCCAAAUGGCAUGCAACCUUGUGAUUUGGACGUUGAUGAGCACUUUGGGCUAGUAACAAGCAAAGAAAACCAUUUAAUGGUUGUUCCUAAAUAACGACUAAACGAAUGAUGAAAAUCAUUUUCGAUAUU